rnacentral:tRNA from 1 species
UCACUGGUAGUUCAAUGGUAGAAUUCUUACCUUCCAUGUAGGAGACCUCAGUUUGAUUCCUGGUCAAUGCA